AGAGGCGUUUUUGUAGAAAUACUACGUCCCAAGUUGUGGACCAACGUAGUUAUUACACGUUUAGAUGUGAGACUUGGUUGGUUCGCCACUAGUGUUAUGUUGGCUCAUAUAGGCCGUUUUUUUAUUGAUUUUAAUUUUAUAAAAGAUUAGACACAAAAUGAAUUAUUUAAAGCGUUUAUUUGUUUUAAUCUGGAUGACUACAGUUUACACCUUUUUAUAACCCAAAAUUCAGUAUCACAUAAUUAGAACAUUUCACUAGACACAUUUCUAGACAAAUUACUAGAAAAAUCUUUGAUUUUGAAUGUCAAAUGUGAAGUUUUCUGUUGCCUCAAAAAUGCACUUCUCGUAACUCAAGAAUAUGUGAAAGUUAUUAAAAAGGUUAAAAUCCAUUUAUAUCUAAAAGGGGUGUCCUAUCUUGUAAAAGCUUCAUAUUUUGGUACUUACUUCACUUUUACCUCAUCUCAUCAACAAAGUUUACAUACGUCCUGUUUAAUAAUUAAUAAUUCAAUCUCUCUUCCAUCAGGUUCAAACAACUAUUGCAAAGUUAUUUUGUUCAGAAAAGACUUCACAAAUCACAAAUGGAUCCUGACUUCUGAGAUUCUGAAAUUACCCUUUAAUCACUCAUUUUAACCAUAAAUCCUAAUGCUCUUUUUUUCUGAUUUACAGACAUCUGACAUUGCACAGCAACGAAUGAGAAUGUGUCUGGAAGGUCUGCCCUUAUUUGUCCGUGACAGUGCACAGAAGCUUUUCCUGAAAUGCCUGGACACUGAUCCGGGAGAAAAGCAGACUGCUGGUGUCAAGAUGGGUCUUCACUGUUCUCGUAGAUGAUGGUGGACCCACCCCGUCUCAAAUGACAUCUGACAUUGCACAGCAACGAAUGAGAAUGUGUCUGGAAGGUCUGCCCUUAUUUGUCCGUGACAGUGCACAGAAGCUUUUCCUGAAAUGCCUGGUCACUGAUCCGGGAGAAAAGCAGACUGCUGGUGUCAAGAUGGGUCUUCACUGUUCUCGUAGAUGAUGGUGGACCCACCCCGUCUCAAAUGUGUGGCAUCUCAACAAUGUGGCCAGACCGUGGCCCGUGACAUGUCUUGCGAAUUCUCCGGCCGAAGCUCCAAAUAAACCAUCAGUGUUUGCCAUCAAAGCUCCAGCUCUCCUCGUGUCUCUCUGAGUCCUGUUUCCAAUUGCUUCAGAAGUUUCCCCCACAAUGUUGAUAUUCUGAGUACUUUUUUAAAGGAAGAGGACUUAUCUCUGGGAGCCAGAAUUCUUGUUGGUUGCAAGGGGAUCAAAUACUUAUUUUACACAAUUAAAUGCAAAUUCAUUUAUAUCUCUUAUAUAAUAUAUAUCUCUGGAUAUUCUUUUUGAUAUUCUGUCUCUCAUUUGUCAAAUAAACCUACCAUUAAAAUAAUAGACUGUUCAUUUCUUUGCAAGUGGGUAAACUUGCA